GGAGAGAUGGCUGAGUGGUUGAAGGCGCACGCCUCGAAAGCGUGUGACUCCGUAAGGGGUCCCUGGGUUCGAAUCCCAGUCUCUCCGCCA
rnacentral:tRNA from 1 species